rnacentral:rRNA from 1 species
UACAGAGGUCCCAAGCGUUGUUCGGAUUCAUUGGGCGUAAAGGGUGCGUAGGUGGUGAGGUAAGUCGGAUGUGAAAUCUCCGAGCUCAACUCGGAAACUGCAUUGGAAACUACCUUGCUCGAGGGUUGGAGGGGGGACUGGAAUGCUUGGUGUAGCAGUGAAAUGCGCAGAUAUCAGGAGGAACACCGGUGGCGAAGGCGGGUCUCUGGGCCGAUAUCGACGCUGAGGAGCGAAAGCGUGGGGAGCGAACAAG